AUAGCGUAUAUUUAAGUUGUUGCAGUUAAAAAGCUCGUAGUUGGAUUUCGGGUGGGUUCCAGCGGUCCGCCUAUGGUGAGUACUGCUGUGGCCCUCCUUUCUGUCGGGAACGGGCUCCUGGGCUUCACUGUCCGGGACUCGGGUUCGACGAUGAUACUUUGAGUAAAUUAGAGUGUUCAAAGCAAGCCUACGCUCUGAAUACUUUAGCAUGGAAUAUCGCGAUAGGACUCUGGCCUAUCUCGUUGGUCUGUAGGACCGGAGUAAUGAUUAAGAGGGACAGUCGGGGGCAUUCGUAUUUCAUUGUCAGAGGUGAAAUUCUUGGAUUUAUGAAAGACGAACUACUGCGAAAGCAUUUGCCAAGGAUGUUUUCAUUAAUCAAGAACGAAAGUUGGGGGCUCGAAGAUGAUUAGAUACCGUCGUAGUCUCAACCAUAAACGAUGCCGACUAGGGAUUGGAGGAUGUUCUUUUGAUGACUUCUCCAGCACCUUAUGAGAAAUCAAAGUUUUUGGGUUCCGGGGGGAGUAUGGUCGCAAGGCUGAA
rnacentral:rRNA from 1 species